rnacentral:rRNA from 1 species
CCCAGACUCCUACGGGAGGCAGCAGUGGGGAAUAUUGGGCAAUGGGCGCAAGCCUGACCCAGCAACGCCGCGUGAAGGAAGAAGGCUUUCGGGUUGUAAACUUCUUUUCUCAGGGACGAAGCAAGUGACGGUACCUGAGGAAUAAGCCACGGCUAACUACGUGCCAGCAGCCGCGGUAAUACGUAGGGGGCAAGCGUUAUCCGGAUUUACUGGGUGUAAAGGGGGCGCAGACGGCGAUGCAAGCCAGGAGUGAAAGCCCGGGGCCCAACCCCGGGACUGCUCUUGGAACUGCGUGGCUGGAGUGCAGGAGGGGCAGGCGGAAUUCCUGGUGUAGCGGUGAAAUGCGUAGAUAUCAGGAGGAACACCGGUGGCGAAGGCGGCCUGCCGGACUGCAACUGACGUUGAGGCCCGAAAGCGUGGGGAGCAAACAGGAUUAGAUACCCGUGUA